UAAAAACCUCUAUGAAAAAAAUAAGGGAUACCCCGGGAGCAGAACCAGGAACGCGAGAGCCCAGGAGAGCACCAGGAGGGUCUCCGUCCAAUUCCCGUGAGUCCAAGGGCUCUUCAAUUUUCCAUCCUGGGAUAUCUUCAAGACACGCAGGAACCCUCCCUGUUUACCAAACUGCUAAGGCUUCUUCAGAGUUUAAAAAAAAUCCCCAUCUCUGCCAAACCCUGAAGUUGCCUCAACACUUUCAAGAAGACCCAUUGUGGUCUUGCUGGAGUGUGGAAUUCAGGAUCGAGAUGCAAAAUUAUCAUUGUACAUGGAACCAUGUGAAUGUAGGAAUCCAAGUAAGACCCCAAAUGUAAAACCAAGGAGGAAGGAUAUUAUCAAGGCCCCUCUAGCCACAGAAGACAGAAUCUGCUUCUGUAAGUACAUCUUCCUGAAAAGACUUCCCAGUUCCAAAAUUUGCCACCAGUUUAUUCAUCUGACACAGGUGAGUUCCAAUCUCACACUUAUGAAGCUUUGGACAAACUGUUACAUGUAACGCAAAACACUUGGUAACAAGACUUUGCAGGGAGAGAACCUGGAGGAAUGAGAGCUAGUGGAGUAGAAACGCUUCUAGGUGCUCAAUACCACACGGCCAUUAAUGACUGUCUCCUUAAACUCUUGGUACAAGAACAGAGGUAAUGUUCCAAGGGUAACAACCAAGACAGGCUGGUGUUUAAGGCCUGGGAAAAGCAGAGUUGCUGGACAGACAGAAAGUGAAGACAUUUAGCAGCUUCCCGAAUACCAUACAAAGAAAAGGGUGCCCUCAAUCAAUGUCUGAAGUGGGCUCUUAAGACCCAAAAAAUCCCCUCAAUACAGGAGCCGAGCCAUCAGUCAGGCUUGACGUUGAUAGAAUCACCCCUUUAAAACUACCCUUUGUACCCUUAUUAUCCAUCAUCUAGCCUUUUGCAUGAGCCCAACCACAGGGUAAGCCAUCCAGGACAGUGGGCUAGGGGUAAGGCCCAGCUGAGGGACUAAGCAAAUAAAUCACUUCUCCCCCUGAGGCUCAGUUGCCUUAUCCAUGAAAUGGUUAAGUUCUAAGCUUCCAGUGAGACAAUCUUCUUUUAUUAACUUUAUAUAGUGCAUGGCCUGACUUCACCUUCCAGGAACUAAGGCCCUCCGGGUAAACUGGUUCAGCUUGUGGAUUAAAAAAGCACCAUGGGAAGACUAGCCCCGACCCCUGAAAAUCAAGGUGCUGUUAGUCCUAGAGAUCAAGGGACUACUUAUUUAUACUAUUUAUUUGGAAAAUGCUUUUUAAUAUUUAUUUUGAAAGAGAGAUAGAGAGCAAGCAGGGGAGGAGCAAAGAGAGAGGGAGACAGAGAAUCCCAAGCAGGCUCCGUGCUGUCAAUGCAAACAGCUCGAACACACAAACUUUGAGAUCAUGACCUGAGCCAAAACCAAGAGUUGGACGCUUAAGCAAAUGAGCCACCCAGGCGCUCAUUUUAGAAAGACAUGUUUUAAAAUAAAGAAUGUUUUAAAAGAAAACAUCUUUUAAAAACAACGUCACAGCAUCACCAGAUUGGUCAGGAAAGCAUUCCAUGAACUUGAUAAAGCCCUAGCCAGAGAGCAUCCGUGCAUCACUUUCCUCUCUCCCACAACAAAAGCACAGCUGAGCCUGGACAGCAGUGAGCUGACCUCGCUCCGACCACUACGCACACAUCCACAUGAUUACAAAACUCCACAUACGGUCCAAAGAGGCACGACAACAGAUAUACUGUGCCAAUCAACAGUAUUUCACAAGGAGGCAAAAAUAAAAAAUGCCUUUCUCUUCAACUAUCCUCAAUCAUCAGGAAGUCAUUUUCCUUGAAUCCUUUUCAAAAAUGCACCCAGAUUCAUGUCACAGAAGGAAAAAAAAAAAAAAGAAGAAGAAGAAGAAGAAUAUCAAAAGCACUUUAGGCUGAGAAAAGGGAUAUGGACCUUUACCGGAACCCAUGAUCUAGGACUCACAGGCAUUUUAAGGGACUAUCAAGGGUUCCUGGGUGACUUAGAUGAGCAUCCAACUUCGGCUCAGGUCACGAUCUGGCAGUUCACACGUGCGAGCCCGGCAUCGGGCUCUGUGCUGACAGCUCAGAACCUGGAGCUUGCUUUGGAUUCAGUGUCUCCUUUUCUCUCAGCCCCUCCCCUGCUUGUCCACUCACACACUCUCUCUCUCUCUGUCUCUCAGAAAUAAACAUAAAAAAAGAAAAUUAAGGGACAAUCAUAGAGAAAUGGUUCCAAGCCUGGCUGUCCCUUAGUAACACCUGGGCAGCCUUAAAAAAAAGCCCAUGCCAGGGUCCCAACGCUAGUUUAACUGGUCUGGACUGGGCCCUGGCCAUUUGUAGUUAUGAAUGCUUCCCAACUCUGCACACCACUAAUUAAGAGGCUCUUCAAACUACAAAGCAAGUUAGCGUUAGGCAACUGUUUUGCAGCACUGAUUUCAGGAUAUGGGAUUUCUGACAGAAAUGUCAAUCGACAACAACAAAACAGGAACAGUAAUGACAGAAAUCAAGUGAAGGUCAUGUGUUUCCAUGUGUCAUUUUAAGGAAGAAAACUCCACAAGCACGUUAAUGAAAACCAAAUGCUAGGAAUGGAGGGUGGUGGUGAUUUCACAACUUUAUGCGUUUGUCAGAAACCCAUACACAUACACACAACGGACUUAUUGCAUGGAAAUUAAAAAUAAAUUUAAAACAUACUCAGAAAAAAAAAGUGAUACAUUCAUUUAUUCUAGGAAUUCUCAAUCUUCACUAAAUGCUAGAAUUACCCAGGGAGUCUUUAAAAAUGUGGCUGUCCCGGCUGCACCCCAGAUCAAGGACAUCAGAACCUCUGGUGGGCAUCUAUAGUUUUUAAAGCUCCGCGGGUGAUUCCAAUGGGCAACCCUGUCUCUCAAUUUCCAGAACAGUAAGAAAAAUCAGGCCCAAUGGACGUUAACACGUAUCCAUAAAAACAUGGCUUCCAACAAGAGUCAUCACUUCUACCUUCCACCCAUUCAGGGAAGUUCACUAAAACCUACUUUUUUUUGUCUCUCAACUUCUGUUUGGUUUCAGGAUAUCCUCGUGACCCACAAGCCAAACAAAAGAGGUGCCGUGAUACCCACCAGCAGCCUACACCAUCGCCUGCAAACGUGCUGAAAGGUUUUAAAGCACGGCAGUAGUUCUGAAACAUCAACAACUCCUGGAUGGGUGGUUCCGAGACAUUGACUGCUGACCCCACCCUGGAGUUUUCUGAUUCAGUAGGUCUCUGGGGUGCUGCUGCUUGGAGACCAUGUUCUAAAGCAAAGUGAACUAAAUAGAGACUUGAAAGCCAGUGCUGAAGCUAAACCAGACAGUUUUUCGGUCACGACAGCCACAGCGCAGAGACUACUGGUCAGUUUCAGGGAACAAGUUAUAUUUACAAAGUGACCUUCAGCAAGACAUUACAAAGAUCUGCAGGUAAGUAAAGCAGAACAGAUUAUCUCUCAUCUAAAGGCAACGUGCUACUCAAAGGGUGAUGCACAAACCUAGGCAUCACCUAGAACGGGUUACAAAUGCAGCAUCUCAGGCCUUACUCCAAACCUUACUGGGUCAGAAAGUAUCUGAAUAGGAUCCCUGGAAUAUGAAAUGCACAUUAAAUCAGCCUUGACCAGUUCCCUCACUCACACCACCAUUACUGAGCACUUACUCUGCAUAAACCCUAGCAGUCAACUGCACAGACAAGCCUUUACACUCCUGGAGCUUCCAUGGGGCAAAGGAUAAAACUCAAGCCCAGAGCUGUUGGACUAGGCAAGGUCACAGAGCUAGCCAGUGGUAGAAACAGGUUUAGAACCCAUGUCUCUUAAACCCUGUACAGUAGAAAUUAUACAGGCCACUGCCUCUAUCAAUAUCACAAACAUAAUUCCAAGC